GCCCCCAUAGCUCAGUUGGUAGAGCGCGGCACUAGUAAUGCCGAGGUCUGCAGUUCAACUCUGUAUGUGGGCA
rfam:Pseudogymnoascus sp. WSF 3629 unplaced genomic scaffold scaffold_1, whole genome shotgun sequence.